rnacentral:rRNA from 1 species
AUUGAACGCUGGCGGCAUGCCUUACACAUGCAAGUCGAACGGCAGCACGGGUGCUUGCACCUGGUGGCGAGUGGCGAACGGGUGAGUAAUACAUCGGAACGUACCUUAUCGUGGGGGAUAACGCAGCGAAAGCUGUGCUAAUACCGCAUACGCCCUGAGGGGGAAAGCGGGGGAUCGAAAGACCUCGCGCGAUUAGAGCGGCCGAUGCCUGAUUAGCUUGUUGGUGGGGUAAAAGCCCACCAAGGCGACGAUCAGUAGCUGGUCUGAGAGGACGAUCAGCCACACUGGGACUGAGACACGGCCCAGACUCCUACGGGAGGCAGCGGUGGGGAAUUGUGGACAAUGGGGGCAACCCUGAUCCAGCAAUGCCGCGGGAGUGAAGAAGGCCUUCGGGUUGUAAAGCUCUUUUGUCAGGGAAGAAACACCGGCUCUAACACAGUCCGGGAAUGACGGUACCUGAAGAAUAAGCACCGGCUAACUACGUGCCAGCCGCCGCCGUAA